ensembl:lncRNA
CUCAAAUCCUCAUCAUAAGAAUUCACUUGGACAGAGUGCACUGGACCUUGCAAAACAUGAAAUCAUCAAAGAGCUGCUCUUAACAUUCAGAGAGCAUCCUGGUGUACCUGAGAAACCUACUGAAUCUUCUAAAGAAGAUUUAGAAAUUUUGCACUGUGAACACAUUUGGAAAGAUAAUCAAGCUCACAGACAACCACCUGCCUCCUUCAGGAGAGAUGAUAAGAGGAGUACAAGAAGCAAUGCUGGUUCUGAACCUUGUAGUUCACUUGAGUGUGGUGAGUCCAGAGCCAUGAGGACAACCCUUGAAGAGGUAGAACCGUCAUCAAAGAAGACAGUCACAGGCCAGCUUUGUUGUGAAGAAAGCCAACAAAAUCAAACAUCUUUGCGACUGCCCACCUUUCACAAUACUGAGGUUCACAGACGACCACCGGCCUCCGUCAGGAGAGAUGACGAGAGGAUCACUGCAGCAAGUAGUGCUGGUUCUGCACCCAAUUCAAGUGAGUGUGGUCAGCCCCAAUCCACAAAGGCAACACCUAAAGAAGUGGAACCGAAGCAGACAGGUAUCAGUCUGGGAUCUGAGGGGCUGUGAA